rnacentral:rRNA from 1 species
CGGGGUGAGUAACGCGUGGAUAACCUGCCUUACACUGGGGGAUAACACUUAGAAAUAGGUGCUAAUACCGCAUAAGCGCACAGAGCCGCAUGGCUCAGUGUGAAAAACUCCGGUGGUGUAAGAUGGAUCCGCGUCUGAUUAGCUAGUUGGCGGGGUAGAAGCCCACCAAGGCGACGAUCAGUAGCCGGCCUGAGAGGGUGAACGGCCACAUUGGGACUGAGACACGGCCCAAACUCCUACGGAAGGCAGCAG